rnacentral:rRNA from 1 species
AUUGAACGCUGGCGGCAGGCCUAACACAUGCAAGUCGAGCGGGGUUUUCGGACCUAGCGGCGGACGGGUGAGUAAUGCGUAGGAAGCUACCCGAUAGAGGGGGAUACCAGUUGGAAACGACUGUUAAUACCGCAUAAUGUCUACGGACCAAAGUGUGGGACCUUCGGGCCACAUGCUAUCGGAUGCGCCUACGUGGGAUUAGCUAGCUGGUGGGGUAAUGGCUCACCAAGGCGACGAUCCCUAGCUGGUUGGAGAGGAUGAUCAGCCACACUGGAACUGAGACACGGUCCAGACUCCUACGGGAGGCAGCAGUGGGGAAUAUUGGACAAUGGGCGCAAGCCUGAUCCAGCCAUGCCGCGUGUGUGAAGAAGGCCUUCGGGUUGUAAAGCACUUUCAGUAGGGAGGAAGGGUGUUGUGUUAAUAGCACAGCAUUUUGACGUUACCUACAGAAGAAGCACCGGCUAACUCUGUGCCAGCCGCCGCUGUAACAC